rnacentral:rRNA from 1 species
UACGGGGGGAGCAAGCGUUGUUCGGAUUUACUGGGCGUAAAGGGCGCGUAGGCGGCCACCGCAAGUCGACUGUGAAAUCUCCGGGCUUAACCCGGAAAGGUCAGCCGAUACUGCGGGGCUAGAGUGCAGAAGGGGCAACUGGAAUUCUCGGUGUAGCGGUGAAAUGCGUAGAUAUCGAGAGGAACACCUGCGGCGAAGGCGGGUUGCUGGGACGGUACUGACGCUAAGGCGCGAAAGCGUGGGGAGCAAACAGG